UACGUAGGGUGCAAGCGUUGUCCGGAAUUAUUGGGCGUAAAGAGCUCGUAGGCGGUUUGUCGCGUCUGCUGUGAAAACUCGGGGCUUAACCCAGAGCCUGCAUUCAAUACUGACAGGCUAGAGUUCUGGAGGGGAUAGCGGAAUUCCUGGUGUAGCGGUGAAAUGCGUAGAUAUCAGGAGGAACACCGGUGGCGAAGGCGGCUAUCUGGACAGAGUCUGACGCUGAGGCGCGAAAGCUAGGGGAGCAAACAGG
rnacentral:rRNA from 1 species